GUUGAAGCCGUAGGUAAUAAGCUCACCCACAAAAAAUCUUUAAAGUGAGACAAGAAAAGCAUUAAGGGUGAAAUUCCUGUGAAACAUGUACCUUUAAAGAUUGCUGGAAGGGAAAGAGACUUGAGGCCUGGCCAGAGAAGGAGAACAAGGAGCGAUUGCUAUCUUAGCAGUAAGGGAACAAGAAAGUUUCUGGAAAGGCGUAACAGUGAUGAAUGCUCCCCAGAGGUCAAGGUGGGGACUGAAUUCUUUGGGUUCAACAAUUAGAAGGCCGCUCUUUACCUCGGUGUCAGUAGUCGCAGGUAGGCGUGGUGAUGGUGGAAACCAGGUUGCGGUGGUUAACGGGGCUGGAAGGCAAGACAUGGAUGAAAGAAGAAUGAGAUAAAGAACCAGAGGCUGCCCACGAGUGGCGUAGGUUCACACACCUGGGAACUGAACCUGGGCCACCGAAGCAGAGCAUGCCUAAGGGGUUACAGCAUAUAUUCCUGAAAUUCUGGAUGGUGGAAAUCCUUGCCCUCUAAAAGCAGAAGUCCCUCUGGGUGCAGACUGAUGCUUCCCUUCAAAUCUGGAGCUGGAGAAGUUUCGUCAUGGAGAAAGAGCCCUCUCCCACCUGCGCCCAGCGCUUUUGACUUUGAAUCACCUCAAGGUUGAGUGAUGCAGAGAAUAAAGAGACAACACAAUAAAAGGAAGUGCUGCCUGCCUAUGUCCCUCCCUGCUGGCUCCCUUAGAAAGCAUCGGCAUCCAUCUGAAGUCUGUGUCCAGGAGUCCCAGACAGGGACCAGCCACA
rnacentral:lncRNA from 1 species